rnacentral:rRNA from 1 species
GACGAACGCUGGCGGCGUGCUUAACACAUGCAAGUCGAACGGAAAGGCCCUGCUUUUGUGGGGUGCUCGAGUGGCGAACGGGUGAGUAACACGUGAGUAACCUGCCCUUGACUUUGGGAUAACUUCAGGAAACUGGGGCUAAUACCGGAUAGGAGCCCCUGCUGCAUUGUGGGGGUUGGACAGUUUCGGCGGUUGGGGAUGGACUCGCGGCUUAUCAGCUUGUUGGUGGGGUAGUGGCUUACCAAGGCUUUGACGGGUAGCCGGCCUGAGAGGGUGACCGGCCAGAUUGGGACUGAGAUACGGCCCAGACUCCUACGGGAGGCAGCAGUGGGGAAUAUUGCACAAUGGGCGGAAGCCUGAUGCAGCAACGCCGCGUGCGGGAUGACGGCCUUCGGGUUGUAAACCGCUUUCGCCUGUGACGAAGCGUGAGUGACGGUAAUGGGUAAAGAAGCACCGGCUAACUACGUG